AACUCCUUGUGCUUUCGAUUUUUUAAGAAGGGCUACAUAAAUCCGAAUUCUGGUGGGUUCCAUAGGCGUACGACACAACGUAUAUGUGUCUAAAUAAAUUAUUAUAUUUUUUAAGGGAUGUCAUUGGGGUGCGAUAUUCAAUUCUUCCUUCCUAUAGCCUUGGUGAUUUGUUGACUCUCCCUAGCAUACGCAGCAUGCAAAAUUGACCUGCGUCACAAAUCCAGUGCGCAUCGACACAAGUAUCGCCUGAUAUUGGGUGCAGAUGAGAUAGGUCAUUGUGGCAUGUUUACAGCCAGGGCAUGUCAACGGAUGGUUACUAGUUUAUCUCGACGCGGCAUGGGGUUCCAAUUUCUUAACAAGCUCGUCGGCCAUCAAGGAGGGAAGGUUGUUGUAGAAUAUUUUCGUGUAUUCUCAACCGCUGUCCGUUCUCUCUGAUCAAUCAUGUUAACUAUUGGACAUGAUGGCCUGUUUGAAGAAAACACCCUACAGCCUUGUUUUUGAUUUACAUCGCUGGCGAUGCGAACCCACCUGAAAUUUAACUCAUUCGGGGACGUCCUCAAUAAAGAUUUCCCCUUCUACAUCUGGAAGUCUGGCGAAAUAUACCAGGUGAACGAUACCACCCUUCCUGUCUUGCGCCAACCUAUCCGAUUUUAACAAUCCCUUUGUGCUCUAAACGUCGCAAAUCCGCUAUAUGAAUGCAUAACCAGAUUAACAACCUUUCCUUUAUCAGCCAGCACGUAACCGUUUUCCGAACAAACGCUAUGACGCCCAAUAGUGUGCUUUUUGGAUCCAGACCAGCAGUAGGGAGAUGAAGAACGUGAACUCCAUAUCCAUUUGCAUUUAAUUGAUCACAGAUCGUCCAUCAACAAGACAAUGGAGACACCUCCUCCAACACUGAUCCCCAAAUCUUAUCAAGGAUUAAACGAUUUACAUGAUUUAUCCUCUAUAUGUGUAUUUUAGUCAGAAAUUGAUGACAAUUAGCAUCUUUUGUGACGCUGGCAGAUGCCAACAUGUUGGUUGCUCGCAUGUCACACUGUGUACUAUGAGGUCCUCUGUAGAUAGAAAGCAACAACUUC
rnacentral:sRNA from 1 species